UUAUUGAAUUUAAAUUCAAGUCACAAAAGGAAAAUUAUCUUUGUCCAAGCUGGCCAAGUAAUUCGCUCAAACCAGUACACAUAAUUAAUCAAACCCUAAUAAAAGUACUUCAAAGAAGCAAACAACGCAUAAAGACAGGUAGUUUCCUCCGUUCCUCCUUUAGUCCACCAAAGGUGCAAAAUUUAGAUUUCAUCUCUAUCUCUUGAAUUAAUAUCCGACUACAUGUUUGCAGAGAUACAAGCAAAUACACAAAUAACAAGUAUCUCUCUUUCAGGCAUUAACUCCCUACUUUUUAACAUAAUCCCUACCCCCGUAAAUUAAAAAAAAAAAAAACCCCCCACGCCCGGUGCUGUCACCAUUAACAAGCAUAAAGUCUCGUAAAAAGUCACUUCCUUCAUAUUCACAAAACAGAGAUUAACCCUACCUUGCAAAUGAAAAUGGUUGUUUUAUGACAAUUGUUUCAUUUCAUCCUUCCCAUAUAUACGCUGAAGUUCAAGAGUGGCAGCUAAAAACGAAUCUGAAAAAAGAAAGAGGUGCAAAGUAGACAUGUCAAUUGUAUCCCAUCUCAAAAACUCCAUCCGAUCAACCUAAACCAAAACCAAACCCAAACCCGAUUUGACCAUAAAAAGUCAACAACAUGAACCCAUCCAACCACACCCAAAAAUGACUCAAACCCAAUCUGAAAUUGACUUAACAAAAAUGACCCUGACAUUUUAAAUUUUGAAUUGAUCCAAUCCAGAAAGAUUCGAUCCAAAAUCAACCCGACUUGCCGAAUAGACCUGACCUUUUUAGUUUACUCAAUAAAGUGCACUAGUAAAAGAAGCAUUUCCUUCUGAUUAAAUUUGUCAGUCAAGAUAGGUAGAAUUAAAAGGAAAAGCAAAUCAAGUUCAAUAGCUUACAUCACCUUUCCAAAUCCGGAAGCACUUCUGGUUAAUAGGCGAGCCGGUUAUUGUCUGAAUAACAUCGAACAACAUAUUCUGAGGUGUGCUUCUAAGCUCUUGGACAAUCCCAUAAAUGGUCUUCCCAUUCUCAAAGUAUAUGUGAUUAUUUGGAUGCUUUGUUUUGCAACCAGCAUGCCGCUCAAAUUCAUAUGCAUUGAUCACCUAUGAGAACGUAGAAACUCUGCUCAUCAGCACACACAUAAGUGCGUACACAAUUCUCUCAAAAAAGAAAAAAAAGGUAAAACCGAGAAACCACACCUUAGAAAAAUUGCAUGUCUGACAGCCACAUUGAUAUCCCGAACUCUUUAUAACACCGUGGAGCUCCUUCUGAAGUUCAUAUAAAGAAGCAGGCGUAUCACCGGACAAUAAGGUAAAUAAAAAGAACACAAGUAAUGAGAUUUUACCUCCUGUGACCAUGCAAUAUAUUUAACGGGAACUCCAUCAAGCAUACCAGUUGACAGCAAACUUCUAACAUUUGAUGGGAAGUUAUUUGAAGUAAGUUUUUUGGAUGUUUUCUGCUCAUCUUUCUUCCUAGGAACUUCAGCUCCAGAGGCAAUAAUAUUAUUGGAUAUAGACACUUUUUCACUAGAAGCAUUGGAUCUUUGGACAGAAGACUGACCCAUCAAUAAAUUAUAGCCUGAUACAAUCCUUCCUGGCGGAUUUGUAUCAUCAUCAUCAUUAGAGCCACCAAAUGAUAUAAUAGUACUCUCACCCCUACUAUAGGACUGACCAAUUGACAAAUUAUAGUUGUCACCCUUCUUGUAGCUUUGACUGAUAGAUAUGGUACUGUCAUCUCCUUUACCAUAGGUCUGACACACAGUUACAGAACUAUCAUCUGUCAUGUAUGUUUGACCCAUGGAUAUGAAAGUGUUUUCACCCUUAUUGAAGGUAUUGCUCAUUGCAAGUGCAUUAUUAUCCUCACUUUUGUUAUAGGAUUGUCCCAUAGACAUGAAAACAUUAUUCUCCCUUUCAUAGGUGUCACCAAUAGGAUCCCCUUUGUUAUAAGAAGAACCCAUCGGCAUAAUACCAUCUUCCACCUUGUUGUAUGCAUGAUCAUUUGACACAGAGGUAUUAUCAACCCCAUUAAACACAUAUCCCAUUGAUGCAGACAUGAUAUUCUCCGAAUCCUUAACCUCGCUGACUUUUACCUUCCUAAUCCCACCAAGGUUUAACCCAGAUCUAGGAUCUUCUAGUGUAUGAGACAUAGAUAAACAGAAUGAAGAAUCAUUUGUAAAUAUAUCUUCAUUAAGCUUUCUCCCCAUGACAACUUUCUCACUGCUAACUGAUGGCAUGCUUCGAUCAUCAAAAUUCACAGCUCGAGCUGAUUCGGUGUCGAAUAACCGUUCAGCAAACUGCCCCGAGAUUGAAUGAAAACCAGAUGCAUUUCCCCAUGGAGACAGGUUUGAAUUCAAGAUUCCAGAAAAAAAGUUGGUAGUUGAAACUCCAACCGCCUGCUUCUUGUUAGGAAAUAUAUCUGUCUCGGAACCAUCCAUAAACCAUUGAUGAGAACGCUUGGGCUCAAUUCUAGAUGAAGUAUCAUACACCAUCUCACCAUCGUUUAAACACCCAGCUCCUUUCGUCAUCCAAAUGCCUUGAUUCUGGAAAGACUGUUACAUGUAACAAAUUCCUAAUCAGAGGCGUAGAAGAGAAUAACAACAACAGUUGAAUCUUUUUCAUUGACCUAGUAUCAAGAUUAACCGCAAGCCAUAAAUAUUUAUAACAUAAUUAAUGGACAACUUCAAUAAGGUGAACUUUGUUUUUGCACCUAUCAAAAGCUUGACUAGGCACACCAAGCAUGCACUUGAAGAAGGAUUGAAAUAACUUUUGUUCUCUAGUGCUAAUAUACAGCGCCUAAGGACGCACCUUGGUCUUUGACAACCUCAGCACUUCAGCACCAACACACACAACUUACCAAGUAGAAAAUUGUCAAACUGACAUUUUUCUUCACUCAUAUAUACAUACUUAUAUAUGGUUCAUCAGUGCAUCCCCACCUAAAUUACUCUAUUACAACUGUUUGGCAAUAAAAGACACAAUCAUCUAUAGUUCUUUUUUUUUUUUUACCAAAAAGCAUAAUUUUUCAGUUGAUACAGAAUUUUAACCUUCUUUAACUAUGUGAAACUACAUAAGGGACAAGGCAAUAAGCAAUUGCAGAACAAUUAACGAUAAAAAUUAAAACCACUGAAUCAAUCACAAAAGAUACACAUAAAACUGAAAAACAGCAUCGAAAGCAACCAUUAGACCCUUCUCCCACCACUUAAAGCACAUAAAAACAUACCAUUUUUCUAGCUUUAUUUCAAAGUUCUAUUUGGAUGAAUCCUCGCUUCCACUUUGCUGUAACAGUCCAACAAUUAAAACUCUAUCAUAUUGCAUUAAACAAGGAUCAAAUUUACAACUUUACCACUAAACAGCAAAGUUCUAUAACUCCUGGCUGAAGCAGAGACUGUAAAACUUCGUGAGAAUUGAAGCCUUUAAUCGCUAAAGUAAUUAUCUGCAAAAUUCAGGGAAUAAAUCACUUGAAAAACUCUGAGAACAAAUAAUAGUGACUCCAAGGCUGAGGUAUUGUAUCUUUCACUCGAAAUUAUGCAAAUCCAUUCCCUUAAACAUAUUUUAAAACAUAUAUAUUGUUGUAAUUGCUGUUAUCCUUUGUCUUCCUCUUUGCAGCCAAACACAAUCAAAAUUAACCAACAAGAUCAGGCAGCAGGGGAUGCAGCAAAUGCUCCAAAAUCAGGUUGCUGCGGUUGAGCUACGAUCGAUGAUGAGCUCUGAAGGGUAUAUUUUCUUCUCUAGUGAGCUCUUUGAAUUUGGGAAAACUGUAACUACAUUCUUCCAGUUUGUAAUUUCUUCUUAUCUAUUUUGCAUCUAUUACUCUUUCGGUCUGAAAUGUUAGAUCCCUGAUAUCCUGCGAAAUUAAUUAUUUUUGCAAGUUGCCUCUACCAUUUUGACAUUUGGAGUUGAAGCUAAGAACCGCUCGGUGCCAUCCAUUAAUUGGAGCAUAAUUAGAGAUGACAAUAGGACAGAUUUGGAACAAAGUCAUUUUGGAGUUUUUCGAGUUUGGUGUGUGGGCUAGGAUUUGGGGCCAGCUCGGUAUUUUCUUCGUAAUUUUCAAACUUUUAUAAAAGAUGUAAGCAUUCUAACAUGUUCUUGUUAGAGUUCAAUUGAGCUCAGGUUUAAAUCAUUUUUUUUUAUCAAAUUUCAGUUCAUGGGUUGAGACUUGAGAUGUGGCCAUGGUCAAUACCAAAAAAUUAAGUCUGAACUCAACUCCCGAUGAUUUUUUUAGUUCAUAUAUUAUAAAAUAUUAUAUUUAUAUCAAUUCAGUAUAAUAGUUUAUAAUGAAGUUCAAAUAAAAAUAUAUUAUUGAAUGUUAAUUUAAGUCAAAAAAAGAAAAAUUAUCUUUGUCCAAGCUGGCCAAGUAAUUCGCUCAAACCAGUACACGAAAUUAAUCAAGCCCUAAAAGAACAGUACUUAAAAGAAGCAAACAACACAUAAAGACGGGUAGUUUCCUCCGUUCCUCCUUUAGUUCACCAAAGGUGCAAUACCAAAAACAAACAAAAAAAAAAGUCUGAACCGAUGAUUUUUUUUGUUCAUAUAUUAUAAAAUAUUAAAUAUUAUAUCUUACCAAUUCAAUAUAAUACUUCAUAAUAAAGUUCAAAUAAAAAAUUUAUUAUUGAAUUUAAAUUCAAGUCACAAAAGGAAAAUUAUCUUUGUCCAAGCUGGCCAAGUAAUUCGCUCAAACCAGUACACAUAAUUAAUCAAACCCUAAUAAAAGUACUUCAAAGAAGCAAACAACGCAUAAAGACAGGUAGUUUCCUCCGUUCCUCCUUUAGUCCACCAAAGGUGCAAAAUUUAGAUUUCAUCUCUAUCUCUUGAAUUAAUAUCCGACUACAUGUUUGCAGAGAUACAAGCAAAUACACAAAUAACAAGUAUCUCUCUUUCAGGCAUUAACUCCCUACUUUUUAACAUAAUCCCUACCCCCGUAAAU
rnacentral:lncRNA from 1 species